rnacentral:rRNA from 1 species
CUACACGAAGAACCUUACCAGGGUUUGACAUGCAAGUGGUAGGAAGCCGAAAGGUGACCGACCUUCGGGGAGCUUGCACAGGUGCUGCAUGGCUGUCGUCAGCUCGUGUCGUGAGAUGUUCGGUUAAGUCCGCUAACGAGCGCAACCCUCGCUGUGUGUUACAAGUGUCACACGGUACUGCCGAUAUUAAGUCGGAGGAAGGUGGGAUGACGUCAAGUCAGCAUGACCUUUAUAUCCAGGGCUACACACACGCUACAAUGGCCAGUACAAUGGGUUGCCAAGCCGCGAGGCGGAGCCAAUCCUAAAAAGCUGGCCUCAGUUCAGAUUGCAGUCUCGUAACUCGACUGCAUGAAGUUGGAGUUGCUAGUAACCGCAGGUCAGCAAUACUGCGGUGAAUACGUUCCCGGGGAUU